rnacentral:rRNA from 1 species
AGAGUUUGAUCAUGGCUCAGGACGAACGCUGGCGGCACGCUUAACACAUGCAAGUCGAACGAGAGAAUAGGAGCUUGCUUUUCUGAUCUAGUGGCGGACGGGUGAGUAACACGUGAGCAAUCUGCCUUUCAGAGGGGGAUACCGAUUGGAAACGAUCGUUAAUACCGCAUAACAUAAUUGAACCGCAUGAUUUGAUUAUCAAAGAUUUAUCGCUGAAAGAUGAGCUCGCGUCUGAUUAGCUAGUUGGUAAGGUAACGGCUUACCAAGGCGACGAUCAGUAGCCGGACUGAGAGGUUGAUCGGCCACAUUGGGACUGAGACACGGCCCAGACUCCUACGGGAGGCAGCAGUGGGGAAUAUUGCACAAUGGAGGAAACUCUGAUGCAGCGAUGCCGCGUGAGGGAAGAAGGUUUUAGGAUUGUAAACCUCUGUCUUCAGGGACGAAAAAAGACGGUACCUGAGGAGGAAGCUCCGGCUAACUACGUGCCAGCAGCCGCGGUAAUACGUAGGGAGCGAGCGUUGUCCGGAAUUACUGGGUGUAAAGGGAGCGUAGGCGGGAUCGCAAGUCAGAUGUGAAAACUAUGGGCUUAACCCAUAAACUGCAUUUGAAACUGUGGUUCUUGAGUGAAGUAGAGGUAAGCGGAAUUCCUAGUGUAGCGGUGAAAUGCGUAGAUAUUAGGAGGAACAUCAGUGGCGAAGGCGGCUUACUGGGCUUUAACUGACGCUGAGGCUCGAAAGCGUGGGGAGCAAACAGGAUUAGAUACCCUGGUAGUCCACGCCGUAAACGAUGAUUACUAGGUGUGGGGGGACUGACCCCUUCCGUGCCGCAGCAAACGCAAUAAGUAAUCCACCUGGGGAGUACGACCGCAAGGUUGAAACUCAAAGGAAUUGACGGGGGCCCGCACGAGCAGUGGAGUAUGUGGAUUAAUUCGAAGCAACGCGAAGAACCUUACCAGGUCUUGACAUCGUAUGCAUAGCUCAGAGAUGAGUGAAAUCUCUUCGGAGACAUAUAGACAGGUGGUGCAUGGUUGUCGUCAGCUCGUGUCGUGAGAUGUUGGGUUAAGUCCCGCAACGAGCGCAACCCUUACUGUUAGUUGCUACGCAAGAGCGCUCUAGCAGGACUGCCGUUGACAAAACGGAGGAAGGUGGGGAUGACGUCAAAUCAUCAUGCCCCUUAUGACCUGGGCCUCACACGUACUACAAUGGCUGUCAACAGAGGGAAGCAAAGCCGCGAGGUGGAGCGAACCCCUAAAAGCAGUCUUAGUUCGGAUUGUAGGCUGCAACCCGCCUACAUGAAGUCGGAAUUGCUAGUAAUCGCAGAUCAGCAUGCUGCGGUGAAUACGUUCCCGGGCCUUGUACACACCGCCCGUCACGCCAUGGGAGUCGGUAACACCCGAAGCCUGUAGUCUAACCGCAAGGAGGACGCAGUCGAAGGUGGGAUUGAUGACUGGGGUGAGGUCGUAACAAGGUA